ACUAAGCGUACACGGUGGAUGCCCUGGCAGUCAGAGGCGAUGAAGGACGUGCUAAUCUGCGAAAAGCGUCGGUAAGGUGAUAUGAACCGUUAUAACCGGCGAUGUCCGAAUGGGGAAACCCAGUGCAAUUCGUUGCACUAUCGUUAACUGAAUACAUAGGUUAACGAGGCGAACCGGGGGAACUGAAACAUCUAAGUACCCCGAGGAAAAGAAAUCAACCGAGAUUCCCCCAGUAGCGGCGAGCGAACGGGGAGCAGCCCAGAGUCUGAAUCAGCUUGUGUGUUAGUGGAACGGUCUGGAAAGUCCGACGGUACAGGGUGAUAGUCCCGUACACCAAAAUGCACAGGCUGUGAACUCGAAGAGUAGGGCGGGACACGUGGUAUCCUGUCUGAAUAUGGGGGGACCAUCCUCCAAGGCUAAAUACUCCUGACUGACCGAUAGUGAACCAGUACCGUGAGGGAAAGGCGAAAAGAACCCCGGCGAGGGGAGUGAAAAAGAACCUGAAACCGUGUACGUACAAGCAGUGGGAGCACCUUCGGGUGUGACUGCGUACCUUUUGUAUAAUGGGUCAGCGACUUAUAUUCUGUAGCAAGGUUAACCGUAUAGGGGAGCCGCAGGGAAACCGAGUCUUAACUGGGCGUUAAGUUGCAGGGUAUAGACCCGAAACCCGGUGAUCUAGCCAUGGGCAGGUUGAAGGUUGGGUAACACUAACUGGAGGACCGAACCGACUAAUGUUGAAAAAUUAGCGGAUGACUUGUGGCUGGGGGUGAAAGGCCAAUCAAACCGGGAGAUAGCUGGUUCUCCCCGAAAGCUAUUUAGGUAGCGCCUCGUGAACUCAUCUUCGGGGGUAGAGCACUGUUUCGGCUAGGGGGUCAUCCCGACUUACCAACCCGAUGCAAACUACGAAUACCGAAGAAUGUUAUCACGGGAGACACACGGCGGGUGCUAACGUCCGUCGUGAAGAGGGAAACAACCCAGACCGCCAGCUAAGGUCCCAAAGUCAUGGUUAAGUGGGAAACGAUGUGGGAAGGCACAGACAGCCAGGAUGUUGGCUUAGAAGCAGCCAUCAUUUAAAGAAAGCGUAAUAGCUCACUGGUCGAGUCGGCCUGCGCGGAAGAUGUAACGGGGCUAAACCAUGCACCGAAGCUGCGGCAGCGACACUAUGUGUUGUUGGGUAGGGGAGCGUUCUGUAAGCCUGCGAAGGUGUGCUGUGAGGCAUGCUGGAGGUAUCAGAAGUGCGAAUGCUGACAUAAGUAACGAUAAAGCGGGUGAAAAGCCCGCUCGCCGGAAGACCAAGGGUUCCUGUCCAACGUUAAUCGGGGCAGGGUGAGUCGACCCCUAAGGCGAGGCCGAAAGGCGUAGUCGAUGGGAAACAGGUUAAUAUUCCUGUACUUGGUGUUACUGCGAAGGGGGGACGGAGAAGGCUAUGUUAGCCGGGCGACGGUUGUCCCGGUUUAAGCAUGUAGGCUGGUUAUCCAGGCAAAUCCGGAUAAUCAAGGCUGAGGUGUGAUGACGAGGCACUACGGUGCUGAAGUAACAAAUGCCCUGCUUCCAGGAAAAGCCUCUAAGCAUCAGGUAACAUCAAAUCGUACCCCAAACCGACACAGGUGGUCAGGUAGAGAAUACCAAGGCGCUUGAGAGAACUCGGGUGAAGGAACUAGGCAAAAUGGUGCCGUAACUUCGGGAGAAGGCACGCUGGUGUGUAGGUGAAGUCCCUGCGGAUGGAGCUGAGACCAGUCGAAGAUACCAGCUGGCUGCAACUGUUUAUUAAAAACACAGCACUGUGCAAACACGAAAGUGGACGUAUACGGUGUGACGCCUGCCCGGUGCCGGAAGGUUAAUUGAUGGGGUUAUCCGUAAGGAGAAGCUCUUGAUCGAAGCCCCGGUAAACGGCGGCCGUAACUAUAACGGUCCUAAGGUAGCGAAAUUCCUUGUCGGGUAAGUUCCGACCUGCACGAAUGGCGUAAUGAUGGCCAGGCUGUCUCCACCCGAGACUCAGUGAAAUUGAACUCGCUGUGAAGAUGCAGUGUACCCGCGGCAAGACGGAAAGACCCCGUGAACCUUUACUAUAGCUUGACACUGAACAUUGAGCCUUGAUGUGUAGGAUAGGUGGGAGGCUUUGAAGCGUGGACGCCAGUCUGCGUGGAGCCAACCUUGAAAUACCACCCUUUAAUGUUUGAUGUUCUAACGUUGGCCCCUUACCGGGGUUGCGGACAGUGUCUGGUGGGUAGUUUGACUGGGGCGGUCUCCUCCCAAAGCGUAACGGAGGAGCACGAAGGUUAGCUAAUCCUGGUCGGACAUCAGGAGGUUAGUGCAAUGGCAUAAGCUAGCUUGACUGCGAGCGUGACGGCGCGAGCAGGUGCGAAAGCAGGUCAUAGUGAUCCGGUGGUUCUGAAUGGAAGGGCCAUCGCUCAACGGAUAAAAGGUACUCCGGGGAUAACAGGCUGAUACCGCCCAAGAGUUCAUAUCGACGGCGGUGUUUGGCACCUCGAUGUCGGCUCAUCACAUCCUGGGGCUGAAGUAGGUCCCAAGGGUAUGGCUGUUCGCCAUUUAAAGUGGUACGCGAGCUGGGUUUAGAACGUCGUGAGACAGUUCGGUCCCUAUCUGCCGUGGGCGCUGGAGAAUUGAGGGGGGCUGCUCCUAGUACGAGAGGACCGGAGUGGACGCAUCACUGGUGUUCGGGUUGUCAUGCCAAUGGCACUGCCCGGUAGCUAAAUGCGGAAGAGAUAAGUGCUGAAAGCAUCUAAGCACGAAACUUGCCCCGAGAUGAGUUCUCCCUGAGACUAUAAGUCUCCUGAAGGAACGUUAAAGACGAUGACGUUGAUAGGCCGGGUGUGUAAGCGCAGCGAUGCGUUGAGCUAACCGGUACUAAUGAACCGUGAGGCUUAACC
rnacentral:rRNA from 1 species